AUUGAACGCUGGCGGCAUGCUUUACACAUGCAAGUCGAACGGCAGCGCGGGCUUCGGCCUGGCGGCGAGUGGCGAACGGGCGAGUAAUGCAUCGGAACGUGCCCAGCAGUGGGGGAUAGCCCGGCGAAAGCCGGAUUAAUACCGCAUACGACCUGAGGGCGGACGCGGGGGACCGAAAGGCCUCGCGCCAUUGGAGCAGUCGAUGUCGGAUUAGCUAGUUGGUGGGGUAAAGGCUUACCAAGGCGACGAUCCGUAGCUGGUCUGAGAGGACGACCAGCCACACUGGGACUGAGACACGGCCCAGACUCCUACGGGAGGCAGCAGUGGGGAAUUUUGGACAAUGGGGGCAACCCUGAUCCAGCCAUGCCGCGUGCGGGAAGAAGGCCUUCGGGUUGUAAACCGCUUUUGUUCGGGAAGAAAUCCUCUGGGCUAAUACCCCGCGGGGAUGACGGUACCGGAAGAAUAAGCACCGGCUAACUACGUG
rnacentral:rRNA from 1 species